ACAGUGUGUUACAGUGAAGUUAUUGGCUGCGUCCGAAACCGCCUACUUCUCUACUAUUUAGUAGGGGAAAAGCAGUAGGCGAGCGAAUAAGUAUGUCCGAAGCAAAAAGAGUAGGCGAAAAUUACCUGGGUGACGUAAUAAUUCUCGCGAGAUUCGGCCGUGCGUCUACUUAAAGUGCGUCCGAAACCGCCUACUUACCUAAUAUAUAAUAGGGGAAAAGCAGUAGGCGAGCGAAUAAGUAUGUCAGAAACCAAAGUAAUCAUAAAAGAGUAGUCGAGAAGUUCCCGGAUGGCCUACUGCUUCCGCCCAGAUUCUGAAGUGUUCCUCGAUAUAUACUUUUCUAUCCCAGGAGGCCACGGGAGAGGAUACGUCAUAAUCGAACACGGAGGAGAAAAGCGACGCGGAUGCUGUCAAAUGGACAGAUGACGGGGACAGAUGAGCACACGUGUGUUUAUCCGGUAGAGGAAUGAUGCCAUCAAAAGCUUUGAGUGAGGAUACUACAGAAAUGAAUACAAAGUCUAUUUAAAUCUAAAGUCUAGUUUAUUUUAAUUAUUGUAAUUUAAACAGAGUUAUUACAGCAGUUUUGAUGAUCAUUUUGUUACUUCUAAAGCAGAAAUCGGAUGACAUUGUGCUGUUAAAAUGACUGCUUUUGUAUUAUGAUUGUGCAUUAUUGUAGGAUGUGAAUGUCCUCAGACUGGUGUCACUGAGGAUGGAGAGCCACAGCAGAUCCUGGGAAUGGUUCAGUGUCAUGGACGAGAUCCUCCAUCACUCCUCCUUCCAAGUGACUCGAUCAAGGACACACUGGAGGAGACGCUGCAGAGAUCGAACCAGCAACCUUCUGCUGACCAGCUCAGUGGUUUAGACCACUACACCACAAAAUCAUGCUGAUGGAGAGCACAUGAAUGUUUGCAGCAGCAGAUUGUCCCGCACAUCUUCUCCCACUCUUGCUUCAAGGUUGUGGUCCAUCAUCAUGGUCUUCCUCAUCCUCUGGAUCAACAGUGUCCCCACUGAGAAGAGCAGCAGUGAGGGACAUGAUGGAUGAAGGUGUUCAUCAGCUGCCUAUUCUACUUACGGAACGAACGCGACGCCAGUUUCGUUUUUUUCCAUAACUUGAAUAGGGAAGGCGUAGGACA